rnacentral:rRNA from 1 species
GCAUAUCAAUAAGCGGAGGAAAAGAAACUAACAAGGAUUCCCCUAGUAGCGGCGAGCGAAGCGGGAAGAGCUCAAAUUUAUAAUCUGGCACCUUCGGUGUCCGAGUUGUAAUCUCUAGAAGUGUUUUCCGCGUUGGACCGCACACAAGUCUGUUGGAAUACAGCGGCACAGUGGUGAUACCCCCGUACACGGUGCGGACGCCCAGCGCUUUGUGAUACACUUUCAAUGAGUCGAGUUGUUUGGGAAUGCAGCUCAAAUUGGGUGGUAAAUUCCAUCUAAAGCUAAAUAUUGGCGAGAGACCGAUAGCGAACAAGUACCGUGAGGGAAAGAUGAAAAGCACUUUGGAAAGAGAGUUAACAGUACGUGAAAUUGUUGGAAGGGAAACGCUUGAAGUCAGACUUGCUUGCCGGAGCUUGCUUCGGUUUGCAGGCCAGCAUCAGUUUUCCGGGGUGGAUAAUGGUGGUUUGAAGGUAGCAGCCUCGGCUGUGUUAUAGCUUUCCACUGGAUACAUCCUGGGGGACUGAGGAACGCAGCGUGCUUUUUGCGAAGGUUUCGACCUUUUCACGCUUAGGAAUGCCUUUGGGUUCC